AGGUCUUCACAGAGUGAAGCAGCCGAGAACCAGCCUGAAGCCUGGGAUGGAGAGGGCCACGGCCAAGAGAAGCAUUGAACCAGGGAGGAAUCACCUGAGAAGGCCAGACCAGAGCUGGACCUGGUAUCACUGCUGCCCAGAGCUAUAUGGGGCUAACUAGGAGGCUGGAGAGCAAAUGGAGACUGAAGAGUUAAAAAGCACUUCCUGAAGAGGAAAAGAGGAGUCGCUUGUGAGCAGCCAUCUAGGCAGACAGGCUGGCACAGACAAGGCUGUGUGGAGGAGUCUGAAGGAAUUGGGCCUCCUAGAUCCAGGGAGUGGUAAGCCUUAGGGAAGAAUUAAGGGAAUGGAAUUGCGUAAACCAGACCUGCUGAGGUGAUCACAAUUGAGACCCAGGGGACUGCAACCCAGCUCCUGGUCUGAGAGUGGAGAAUCAUGUCAUUCCAUCCCAAGAGAGGAGACAACGCAAGGCCUGAGACCUAAAAGGAUGUGCACUGAGAGACCAGAAAGGCUCAGAGGCACAGUUUACCUGGUAACUGUGAAAGCUUUAUGGGCAGUUUUUCAGCACUCGUCCUCCCUUGUCCUUUAUUAACAAUAAACACU